rnacentral:rRNA from 1 species
AGUGAACGCUGGCGGUAGGCCUAACACAUGCAAGUCGAACGGCAGCACAGUAAGAGCUUGCUCUUACGGGUGGCGAGUGGCGGACGGGUGAGGAAUACAUCGGAAUCUACUUUUUCGUGGGGGAUAACGUAGGGAAACUUACGCUAAUACCGCAUACGACCUACGGGUGAAAGCAGGGGAUCUUCGGACCUUGCGCGAUUGAAUGAGCCGAUGUCGGAUUAGCUAGUUGGCGGGGUAAAGGCCCACCAAGGCGACGAUCCGUAGCUGGUCGGAGAGGAUGAUCAGCCACACUGGAACUGAGACACGGUCCAGACUCCUACGGGAGGCAGCAGUGGGGAAUAUUGGACAAUGGGCGCAAGCCUGAUCCAGCCAUACCGCGUGGGUGAAGGAGGCCUUCGGGUUGUAAAGCCCUUUUGUUGGGAAAGAAAAGCAGCAGGUUAAUACCCCGCUGUUCUGACGGUACCCAAAGAAUAAGCACCGGCUAACUUCGUG